rnacentral:tRNA from 1 species
GGGGACAUAGCUCAGUGGUAGAGCAUAUGCUUAGCAUGCACAAGGUCCCAGGUUCAAUCGCCAGUACCUCCA